rnacentral:misc_RNA from 1 species
AACGCAUAUGGCACCUGCCAGCCCUGCUGGAAGGUAUGCCUGUUUGAGAAUCAUACUAUUUCUGAUCGAUCGUGUCCACGGUCGGUCGACAUGGGCCUUCACCACUGAUUGCCCCGAAUUGCGCGCGAUUGUCGUGUUAGGGAGUGGGCAGCAAUGCCGAUGCAUCUAUUCGACUAAUCAGCCCCGUGCUCGUGAUCUCAAAUCAGGCAAGGCUACCCGCUGAACUUAA